GACGAACGCUGGCGGCGUGCUUAACACAUGCAAGUCGAACGGAAAGGCCCUGCUUUUGUGGGGUGCUCGAGCGGUGAACGGGUGAGUAACACGUGAGUAACCUGCCCUUGACUUUGGGAUAACUUCAGGAAACUGGGGCUAAUACCGGAUAGGAGCUCCUGCUGCAUGGUGGGGGUUGGAAAGUUUCGGCGGUUGGGGAUGGACUCGCGGCUUAUCAGCUUGUUGGUGGGGUAGUGGCUUACCAAGGCUUUGACGGGUAGCCGGCCUGAGAGGGUGACCGGCCACAUUGGGACUGAGAUACGGCCCAGACUCCUACGGGAGGCAGCAGUGGGGAAUAUUGCACAAUGGGCGGAAGCCUGAUGCAGCAACGCCGCGUGCGGGAUGACGGCCUUCGGGUUGUAAACCGCUUUCGCCUGUGACGAAGCGUGAGUGACGGUAAUGGGUAAAGAAGCACCGGCUAACUACGUG
rnacentral:rRNA from 1 species